GAAGACGAUUCAGCUGUGUGACUGGAAGGGUGGAGCCUGGCUGCACCUCUCUUAGACCUCAUUGAAGGGCUGACUGCUAUUGAGAAAGGAUCUCUGGUUAGAGAUCCAUCCCUUGUGGAGUUUUUCCUGUGGAACUUCAAUCUUCAGAGACAGGGAACAGCAUGGAGCACCCCAAGGUGGGACCAGGGAUGUCUCUCCGCACCGAUGGUGACCCAGUUCCUCUCACCUUGGAGCGAUGGACCUCGCCAUCAUCAUCCUCGCCACCGACCCCCAGGAUCUUGCGUGUCUUCAACCUGCUCACCAGGUCGGUCUGGCUGUGCUUCUUCAUCAGCG
rnacentral:lncRNA from 1 species